GAUGAACGCUGGCGGCGUGCUUAACACAUGCAAGUCGAACGAUGAAGCCCAGCUUGCUGGGUGGAUUAGUGGCGAACGGGUGAGUAACACGUGAGUAACCUGCCCUUAACUCUGGGAUAAGCCUGGUAAACUGGGUCUAAUACCGGAUAGGAGCGCCUACCGCAUGGUGGGUGUUGGAAAGAUUUAUCGGUUUUGGAUGGACUCGCGGCCUAUCAGCUUGUUGGUGAGGUAAUGGCUCACCAAGGCGACGACGGGUAGCCGGCCUGAGAGGGUGACCGGCCACACUGGGACUGAGACACGGCCCAGACUCCUACGGGAGGCAGCAGUGGGGAAUAUUGCACAAUGGGCGAAAGCCUGAUGCAGCGACGCCGCGUGAGGGAUGACGGCCUUCGGGUUGUAAACCUCUUUCAGUAGGGAAGAAGCGAAAGUGACGGUACCUGCAGAAGAAGCACCGGCUAACUACGUG
rnacentral:rRNA from 1 species